UGGGGAAUAUUGGACAAUGGGCGCAAGCCUGAUCCAGCAAUGCCGCGUGAGUGAUGAAGGCCCUAGGGUUGUAAAAUCCUUUCGUUGGGGACGAUAAUGACGGUACCCAAAGAAUAAGCACCGGCUAACUUCGUG
rnacentral:rRNA from 1 species